rnacentral:lncRNA from 1 species
AAUUAUGCUUAGUUUUAGUUAUUUUUUUAUCAAUCUUUUCUCUUUCUUCUUUGCCAACAAGUGCAAUUAUUCCAAAGGCUAAUGUUUCCCUUCCGAUACCUUCAUCGCAACUAGUAGAAAAUUUAUGCAAUGGCAAGGCAAUUCAAAAUCGCAGGUUUUGCUUGAAAGCACUUUCCACUCCAGAAGUUAUUGCGGCAAUGGAUACAACCCAACUAGGAACCCUCAUUAUGAAAUUAGGAGCAGCAAAUGCCAAAGCAACGUUGAAUGUAUAUAAUGAAAUAAUGAAGAAACCAGGUUCUCCCCAGGCUUUGAAAGCUCUUAAUUGUUGCGUUGAAGCUUACAAAUAUGCAAUCUUAUCAUUUGAAAUGGUAUCUUCAGAAUUGGUUGAAGAUCCCCAAACCGCAAACUAUGAUGUAGCUGUUAUAGGUCCCGAAAUUGCUAAUUGUGAAAAGGAACUGAUUAACGCAAAGGUUCAAGCACCUCGACUCCUUGCUGGGAAUCGAUUUAUAAAAUAUUAUGUCUCAAUGGGAUAUGAGAUAACAUCAACUCUCGAGCUUGAAAAUCCAAAUGAGUAUUAGGCAAAAAAAAAAGGGAAUAUGUAUAGAUAAUAAUGUGUGAAUUUGUUAUCUUGAUUGAUACAAUAUGAUAUUGAUGGCAUAGACUUGCUCCCAUUGUUGCUGUUGUUGAAGCUUUGAAUUAAUUUAAAUAAUCAUUGUAAAAUUGUAUAUUUUUUUCAUAUUCCAUUAAGUUAAUAAAUCCUUAAUAUUCCAAUCAUUAGCUAUUCAAAGUGGACUUAGAAUGAAAAGGAAAAUCCACAGAUCAAUAAGUAAAUAAAUCAAUUCUAAAAUAGAUUCAUUCCAUUAUAGAAUGAAAAAUAAAAGUACCUCUUGCUCCGAUAAGGGCUUACACUGCAUCAGCUGAGAAAUCUGUUUAUCCAAAUUAUCAUGUGAAUUCAAACCCACCGAAGAUUCGUUUCUUUUAAUUAUUCUUUAACCUUAGAUUCCCAAAAUUUCCUCAAACUUGUUCAUUCAAAAGAAAAAUAAAACCUGAUUUUUUUUCUUAGAAAGAAAAACGGGAUCAAAUUGUGCAAAUUUCAAUUUGUAAAACAAAAAUUGAUUUCAACAAUUAAUUUGAUCAUUAAUGAUUUCUCUAACUUUUAGAUACCAUAAAAAUUCAGUCCAAUGAAUAACAAAUUCCGCUUAUUCUGUUAAGAAAUUUUAUGUGACAUUUUUAUAUGUAAAAAUUCAGUCCAACCAGCAAUUUCAUAUGCCACCUAAUUUUAAAUGCAUUGAAGUUAUAACUAUAAACAGCUAGAUUAGAAUUAUUGUUCGGUAAACUAUCAAAAUAGUUACUUUUGUCACCUAUAUUUAAAAUAUUAUAUUUUAGUCACUUACGUUAUCAUAUUGUAAUAUUUUAGUCACUGAGUGUUAAUUGUCGUUAAAGGUGUAACGGUUAGCUGAUCUGACAAGUUAUAUCAUCAUUUCAACCGAAAAUUUUAGAUUAUACAAUUGGCCCCUAUAUUUUUUUCAUUUUGAAUUUUUUUUCUUUUAUAUUCUUUGAACUUUCUUUUUUUUCUUUAUUUUCCAUUCUCUUCUCCUUCUCCCUCUGUUUUCCCCUCUUCACCAUUUCUUUUAACGUAGUUUUUCUAUGUUUUCCAAUUGUUAAAACUAGUCCCUAUAUAUUUUUUUGAACAAUUUAAUUUUUUCUUUUUCUUUUUUUUUAUUUUCCUUUUCUUCUUCCCCUUUAUUUCACUCUCUUCUUAUAUUUUUCACUAUAGAAACAUAAAUUUUGCCUACCAAAGACUAGGUUAUUGAGAGAUCCAAAUUGGAUUCAACUUUCGCCUUUUCUUUUUUCAUAAACUUAAAAAAAGUUUUAACAAAUGAAAAACAUAGAAAAACUACGUUAAAUGAGAUAGAGAAGGAAGAAAAACAGAGGGAGAAGCAAAAGAGAAUGGAAAAUAAAGAAAAAAAAGAAGUUAAAAGAACGUAAAAGAAAAAAAUUAAAUUGCUCAAAGCGAAAAAAAUAUGAGGAUCAAUUGUAUAAUUUAACUUAAAAUUUUUGAUCGAAAUGAUGAUUUAACGUGCCACGUCAGUUUACCGUUACACCGUUAACAGCAACUAACGACUCAGUGACCAAAAUGUUACAACACGUUAACGUAAGUAACUAAAAUGUAACAUUUCAAACAUAAGUGACUAAAAUGUAACCUACGGUAAACAAAAGUACUAUAAGUCAUUGGGCUAUUAAGUAUUUUUUUUUAAGGCUAGCAAGCUUCAAGCAUCAAUUCGAUAAUUGAUAUUGUGGAUUAGUACCCAUCAAUGAGUAGAAGAAUGUAUCUUAGGUCAAAGUUGAUCUGACAGUCAAUGUUGGAGAUCGAAUAAAAAAGUUGUUUGGAUUUUGGCUCGUAAAUUUGUGACGGUAAAAGUUGUUCUAUUGAAAAAACUGAACCGUACAAGAAAAGGGAAAAGAGAGCUUUCAAUUAUUGUAGGUGCCGCAUUACAAAUGGAAAAGACUAUAUGUCAACGAUUUUAACAAUCCAGUGACUUAAAUGAAAACUUUUCCAUAGUUAUGUGACCAUUAAAUAAUUUUUUGAAGUUGAGUGACCAAAAUGUAAACUUACUAAUAGUUUAGUGACAUUUACUAUAGUUUAAGUCUUAUUGGUGUAGCCCCCUCUCUCAAUUAACAGCUUGACUUUUCGAUUUUAAAAACACUUUUUAAAAAUGUUUUGGAUGAUAGUUUUUUAUGAUAAAAACUUAUAGUUUAUAAUUAUUUUUUUUUAUUUUUUGUAUUUUUUUAGAGGGUUAAUAUGUAGUUUGCUCUUUAAAUUUAUCCAAAAACUCUUAGUUGAUACCUAAAUUUUUUUGUACUUAAUUGAUACCUGAGUUUGAAAAUUUUCACACGCAACACAUUAUCUCAAUUCGUUAACAACAUUAACUUUCUAAAGGUUAAUAUAUAGUUUGUCCCCCGAACUUAUCCAAAAGUACCUAAUUGUACAUGAAUUUGUCUAAAAAUAUAUAUUUUUAAAGUUUUUUAAUUUAAUUGAUGUCCACCAUGUGUCAUACUCAGAGGUUGUCACAAGUCACCAUUAGAUUGGCCAUUAGUGCCACGUCAGCACAAACUAAUAGUGUUAGUGUAGAGGUACCAAUCUAGGUGACGGAAUACAAGUUCAGGUACCAACUAAGUAUUUUGGACAAGUUUAAUGGGCAAACUACAUAUUAACCAUUUUUUAAAUGACAAAGAAAAACAAUACUAAAAACACAUUCAAUAUAUUAUUAUUUUUUAACAAUAAAUCGAACCGAUAUAAGGUUGAAAACUUUAAGCCUAAGCUUAGACCACGAACAAGCAAUAUAAUAAUAUAAAAGAACUACAAUAGUAAAAUUACUUUGUAAUAAUGUUGCCAACGACAUAUAAUAAAAUAUUAAGGAGAUUUCCACAAGCUUGGCAAAACAGUACAAUUCAACCUAUAAGAGUCACUUGUCUAGACAUCUCCCUAUUGAUUCUGAACAUCCUUUGGUAGGAAAUUUUAUGCAUUAUAUACCGAGGGGGAUGUUAGGAUGGAAACAUGUUUUGCUAUUGCCGGGGUGUUACAUGUAAACAAAAUGGAGAAUGAAAUCCUUGGAUAUAACCACUAUUUUGGGAGUAUUUCUAUUUUUGAAGCUGAAAUUUGUGGAUACUUGAUGGUUUUGCCAUUAUUCAGAGAAAGAGGUACAAGAAUGUGUUGAUACACAUGGAUAGCCUGGAAUUCGUUAAAGCUUUGCAGGUUAGCUGCUUGGCCAGUUCGUCCUCAGCCUUGAUAAGAAGGAUUCAUUUGUUUUUACAAAUUAUAGUCCAAUUACAAAUCAAGUGUAUUCCGAGAGAGAGGAAUAAAGUUGAUGACAGGCUUGCUAAGGUGGCUUCAGAUAGGAAUACAGAGGGGCAAGUGUUUGUUAAUUUCCCGAAGGAGAUGUUAGAUAAAUUUGGGUUUGAUAAAAUAGUUGAGUUUCCGUUUGUCAUUAUUUAGUAGGGUUGGUUUGUUUUAUUUACACACCAAAAGAAAAGUUGAUUGCAACCAAAAUUUUCAAUAAAAAGAGAAAAAUCAAUAUAAUUGUACAAUCAAACACUUAUAUUAGAAAAUAAAUUACUAAAUUAGUUUUGUUAACAAAAUUGUAAAAUAGCUUUAUUGUUAGAAUUGAUAAUAAUGUAUGUUAUCAUAACUAAGACUUAUCCAAAAAUAGAUUUGUUUUACCUUUAUAAAAAGUAGUAAAAUAAAUUAAAAAAUCACAAGAUCAAAAUUUGUAAUUAAAAAUAUCUCCAUAUCAUAGUCAACAAGACAAUGGCUCCUCCAUAUCAAUUAUGCUUAGUUUUAGUUAUUUUUUUAUCAAUCUUUUCUCUUUCUUCUUUGCCAACAAGUGCAAUUAUUCCAAAGGCUAAUGUUUCCCUUCCGAUACCUUCAUCGCAACUAGUAGAAAAUUUAUGCAAUGGCAAGGCAAUUCAAAAUCGCAGGUUUUGCUUGAAAGCACUUUCCACUCCAGAAGUUAUUGCGGCAAU